CCGUCUUGGUGCGAGUGGGUCGGUUUUUGUGCGAGUGUGAUGGAUGGACGCCCCGCCCGGAUGUUGCCCGUUUCUUCACUCACUUGCCGCUCACUCAAUUUUCAACCAGCAAGCAGUACAAAAUAACCUCGGAUAAAGAAGACAGGAAAAAUCUUGUCUUCAACGAAACGUGCCUUUGUUCAGUGAUCAACUUUUUCAGCAGUUUAGUUUGUCCCUGCUCAACUCUCUGUGCUCUUAGGUAGCGCAUAACACUACGGUCUUCAACUUCAACCACUAACAACAACAAUCACUCUCUACUUCUCAUCUGUCAAUUCACAAUUUGGCUGAAGAAAAAAUCAGCUAGUUACUUCUGAAUUUGAUAGUGCAUACGGAAAAGGAAACUUUAUCGCCGGUUUUUCAUCUGGAGUCAUAAAAUAGAGUAAACAAAGAGAGUCGGUUUUUGGAGGUUGGAUCUGAAGCACAACUGCAAACUUUAAUUUUACCAUAAUGUCGGCCAAAGAUAUUUACUACUCCAACAAAUACUGCGACGACGCUUUUGAAUACAGGCAUGUGGUCCUGCCUAAAGAAAUUGCGAAAGCUGUUCCAAAGCACAAGCUAAUGUCUGAAACAGAAUGGAGGACUUUGGGGGUCCAGCAAAGCCAAGGGUGGGUUCACUAUAUGACUCAUGAUCCUGAACCACACAUUCUCCUCUUCCGUCGUCCUAUCGACCAGGAAAAUAAUAAUGGGAGCCAGAAGUAGCACUAGUAGAAACCCACAAUUCUGCUGCAAAUUUUGUUCUAAUCCAUAGGCUAAAUAAAACUGGUUAGUGUACAAGAAUAAACAUAUGAACCCAAUAAUUAAUAAUGAAACGCUUAAAUACAAAUAAUUUAGGGAAUCAUUUAUACUUUUAAUAAUGAACUUGUGUUAUUUUAAAGUUGUAUAACGAUUCAAACAAAAUCUCAGAUAUAUUGCAGGAAUUUAUUAGUAUAUAAUGGGUCGAGAAAUUAAACUUUUGUCAUUAAUCUUAUCAAAACUACUUCUGGCGUCCCUUUUAACGAAAUAAAUGUAAAAACGACUUUCAAUUCAA